ensembl:lncRNA
AGGUAUUCUUAAUCUUAAUUUUCAGAGAUUCAAUGAAGCAGUGACUUAGUUUUCAGCUCCUAAAUAUGUAUAUAAUUGUGAUUUUCUUUAUGUCAAGGUACUCCAGUUAGCCUCAGAGGAAUAUCUCUGCAUGGACACCUUCAGAGGGACCCAUAAUAACAUCCUGUACAUUUUUUGCCACAAUCCGAUGAGUCCUCAGUGCCAGUCCAAGGAGUUCUGGGAUGUUGCCCUUCACACUGAUGUCAAGUUUAGGACGUAUCUAGAACAUGUGGCAGAUAAGAUUUCAGACUGGACUAGAGAGGAAGAAUUAAAGAGAGUGGCUACAUUUUCUGUAGAGGAGGUGAAGGAGAUGGAAGAGAAGGAGGAGGUGGAGAAGAAUGGAGAGGGGGAGGAGAACAUCCUGGAAUCUGUCAUCAGAAAAGACUCUCUGAAAGCUUGGAAGUUAGAGCAGGAACGCUCGAAGGAAGAGGAGAUGGCCAAAAAAUCCAAGAAGGAGAACACACCAAAAGGCAAGCAGCAGAAGGAGGAGAAAAGUAAAACUUUGUCGAGUGGCAAGACUAGCAAACCGGAAACAGCAGCCAGCAGAGCCAAUACACCUACAACGUCCACAAUUACUGCAGCACCCCCUGUGGACAAAAGCCAAGAACUAC